AGACCGAUAGCGAACAAGUAGAGUGAUCGAAAGAUGAAAAGCACUUUGAAAAGAGAGUUAAACAGCACGUGAAAUUGUUGAAAGGGAAGCGUUUGCGACCAGACUCGCCCGCGGGGUUCAGCCGGCACUCGUGCCGGUGUACUUCCCCGUGGGCGGGCCAGCGUCGGUUUGGGCGGCCGGUCAAAGGCCCUCGGAAUGUAUCACCUCUCGGGGUGUCUUAUAGCCGAGGGUGCAAUUGCGGCCUGCCCGGACCGAGGAACGCGCUUCGGCUCG
rnacentral:rRNA from 1 species